CCUACGGGUGGCUGCAGUGAGGAAUAUUGGUCAAUGGGCGUAAGCCUGAACCAGCCACGCCGCGUGAGGGAUGAAGGUUCUAUGGAUCGUAAACCUCUUUUAUAAGGGAAUAAAGUGUGGGACGUGUCCUGUUUUGUAUGUACCUUAUGAAUAAGGAUCGGCUAACUCAGUGCCAGCAGCCUCGGUAAUACGGGGUAUGCGUGCGUUAUCCGGAUUUAUUGGGUUUAAAGGGUGGGUAGGCGGAAAGCCAAGUCAGAGUUAAAAUCGCGGGGCUCAACCUCGCUGCGCCGUUGAAACUGGCGUUCUUGAGUGGGCGAGAAGUAUGCGGAAAGCGAGGGGUAGCGGGGGAAUGCAUAGAUAUCACGCAGAACUCCGAUUGCGAAGGCAGCAGACCGGCGCCCAACUGACGCUGAAGCACGAAAGCGUGGGUAUCGAACAGGAUUAGAUACCCCAGUAGUC
rnacentral:rRNA from 1 species